UUUUUUUGGAGGGGCAAAGUCUGGUGCCAGCAGCCGCGGUAAUUCCAGCUCCAAUAGCGUAUAUUAAAGUUGUUGCAGUUAAAAAGCUCGUAGUUGAAUUUCGGGAUCAUCAGGUUGGUCGUGCCUCUGGUAUGUACUGAUUUCGAUGGUUCCUCCUUCUUGUAGAACCGUAAUGCCAUUAAUUUGGUGUUGCGGGAAAACAGGACUGUUACUUUGAAAAAAUUAGAGUGUUUAAAGCAGGCAAUCGCUUGAAUACAUUAGCAUGGAAUAAUGAAAUAGGACGUUUGAUCCUAUUUUGUUGGUUUCUAGGAUUGACGUAAUGAUUAAUAGGGAUAGUUGGGGGCAUUAGUAUUCAAUUGUCAGAGGUGAAAUUCUUGGAUUUAUUGAAGACUAACUACUGCGAAAGCAUUUGCCAAGGAUGUUUUCAUUAAUCAAGAACGAAAGUUAGGGGAUCGAAGACGAUCAGAUACCGUCGUAGUCUUAACCAUAAACUAUGCCGACUAGGGAUCGGAUGAUGUUAAUUUUUUAAUGACUCAUUCNGCGCCNUUACGGGAAAACAAAAA
rnacentral:rRNA from 1 species